AACGUAGGUGGCGAGCGUUAUCCGGAAUUAUUGGGCGUAAAGAGCUCGUAGGCGGUUUGUCGCGUCUGCCGUGAAAGUCCGGGGCUCAACUCCGGAUCUGCGGUGGGUACGGGCAGACUAGAGUGAUGUAGGGGAGACUGGAAUUCCUGGUGUAGCGGUGAAAUGCGCAGAUAUCAGGAGGAACACCGAUGGCGAAGGCAGGUCUCUGGGCAUUAACUGACGCUGAGGAGCGAAAGCAUGGGGAGCGAACAGG
rnacentral:rRNA from 1 species